rnacentral:lncRNA from 1 species
GCCAUGCUCAGGACAUCCCCCCUCCUAACAGGGACCUCUGAAUUAGGUUAUGGAUCCAGAGACCUUUGGCCAAAGUGGAAAAAAAAUAGCAUUUUUGAAUUCUCAGAAUAUCAUACUGAUGCCUGUUUUAAAAGUCACAUCAUGAAGAAGUCUUGGAAAUCUUAAAAAGUUUUUCUAAAACUCAGCAGUUCUCCAUUUCUAGAUUUUGCCAUAGUUCAAAAAUUCUAUACUGAUUUUUAUAAGUAUUUGAAAAGACAUAAAUAUACUUUUGGCCAAUUGUUAUCUGAGAAGUGAGUAUCUGAGAACAUGGCUUUCGUGAGCUUUCUUUACUACAACCUGCAGAUGAAAGUUCUUAGUUCUCAUUUUUAAAGUGUGUUGCGACGUAAUGAUGAGAGUAUGUGGGUUCUAACACACUUCCUGUUUCUGUUUUCUAGAUAUAACGGAAACACAAAGGAGGCGUAUUUCAGCCUGGGCCUCCAAGGGAUUGCAGAGAAAGAUAUUCAGAAGGUCAGGGACCUUGUGGAUAGCACGUUUGACGAAGUAGUUGAGUAAGUGUGGUCUUUUGUAAUGAUUUUCUUUCUUCUUUCAUUCAAGAGUUCUCUUCCUGGAAGGACUGUGGCUUCUCCAUAUUUUAGCUUUCUCUCUAUGGAACAAAACAUGUUUUAGUAGUUGAUGCUAC